rnacentral:rRNA from 1 species
UACGUAGGGUGCAAGCGUUGUCCGGAAUUAUUGGGCGUAAAGAGCUCGUAGGCGGUUUGUCGCGUCUGCUGUGAAAACUCGGGGCUUAACUCCGGGCCUGCAGUGGGUACGGGCAGACUAGAGUGCGGUAGGGGAAACUGGAAUUCCUGGUGUAGCGGUGAAAUGCGCAGAUAUCAGGAGGAACACCGGUGGCGAAGGCGGGUCUCUGGGCCGUAACUGACGCUGAGGAGCGAAAGCGUGGGGAGCGAACAGG